rnacentral:rRNA from 1 species
GACGAACGCUGGCGGCGUGCCUAAUACAUGCAAGUCGAGCGAAUCUGAGGGAGCUUGCUCCCGAAGGUUAGCGGCGGACGGGUGAGUAACACGUGGGCAACCUGCCUAUAAGACUGGGAUAACUUCGGGAAACCGGAGCUAAUACCGGAUAAUUCUUUUCUACUCAUGUAGGAAAGCUGAAAGAUGGUUUCGGCUAUCACUUAUAGAUGGGCCCGCGGCGCAUUAGCUAGUUGGUGAGGUAACGGCUCACCAAGGCGACGAUGCGUAGCCGACCUGAGAGGGUGAUCGGCCACACUGGGACUGAGACACGGCCCAGACUCCUACGGGAGGCAGCAGUAGGGAAUCUUCCGCAAUGGACGAAAGUCUGACGGAGCAACGCCGCGUGAGUGAUGAAGGUUUUCGGAUCGUAAAACUCUGUUGUUAGGGAAGAACAAGUACUAGAGUAACUGCUAGUACCUUGACGGUACCUAACCAGAAAGCCACGGCUAACUACGUGCCAGCAGCCGCAGUAACAC